AGCAGCCGCGGUAAUUCCAGCUCCAAUAGCGUAUAUUAAAGUUGUUGCAGUUAAAAAGCUCGUAGUUGAACUUCGGGGUUCACCCAUUGGUCAGGCUUAAUUGUCUGCACUGGUGAGAUGAGUCUCUACCUUCUGAGGAACUUUCAUGUCAUUAAUUUGGUGUGAUGGGAAAUCAGGACUGUUACUUUGAAAAAAUUAGAGUGUUUAAAGCAGGCUAACGUCUGAAUACAUUAGCAUGGAAUAAUGAAAUAGGACGGACUGAUUCUAUUUCGUUGGUUUCUAGGAUCACCGUAAUGAUUAAUAGGGAUAGUUGGGGGCAUUAGUAUUCAAUUGUCAGAGGUGAAAUUCUUGGAUUUAUUGAAGACUAACUACUGCGAAAGCAUUUGCCAAGGAUGUUUUCAUUAAUCAAGAACGAAAGUUAGGGGAUCGAAGACGGUCAGAUACCGUCGUAGUCUUAACCAUAAACUAUGCCGACUAGGGAUCGGAUGAUGUUAAUUUUUUAAUGACUCAUUCGGCGUAC
rnacentral:sRNA from 1 species